rnacentral:rRNA from 1 species
UGGGGAAUCUUGCGCAAUGGGCGGAAGCCUGACGCAGCAACGCCGCGUGGGGGAUGACGGCCUUCGGGUUGUAAACCUCUUUCGCGAUCGACGAAGGUCCACUUUUUGUGGGCUGACGGUAGGUCGAGAAGAAGCACCGGCCAACUACGUGCCAGCAGCCGCGGUAAUACGUAGGGUGCGAGCGUUGUCCGGAAUUAUUGGGCGUAAAGAGCUCGUAGGCGGUGUGUCGCGUCGGCCGUGAAAACCUGGGGCUCAACUCUGGGCGUGCGGUCGAUACGGGCAUCACUUGAGUUCGGCAGGGGAGACUGGAAUUCCUGGUGUAGCGGUGAAAUGCGCAGAUAUCAGGAGGAACACCGGUGGCGAAGGCGGGUCUCUGGGCCGAUACUGACGCUGAGGAGCGAAAGCAUGGGUAGCGAACAG